GGAAACUUACCCGUGAACUUAGGUCUUUGGGCAGCAGCAUUAUCUCGAACCUACACAGCGUCCAGAACAAAAGACAUUAGGCAAUCUCCACAAAGGGCGGCAGCCCCUCCAUCACACUGAUCCACCCACAGAAUUCUGCCCAGUUACCUUGGAUCAAAGAGCCACAACAAGCCUCGCGGUUCACACCAAGAUUCUCCUAGAAUCCAACAGGUUUUCUGAAGCCUCAGCCUUUCUUUGGAAGUAACAGACCACUCUUCGGAAAGUGUCCUGUGCCAAGGGCUCGACAUCAGGAAUCUUGGAGCGGUUCUUGGAGCAGUGAAUUGAGUGACUUUCUCAAGUGCACGUUCACACUCCGAAUGUUUCUGCCAGUAUCUCAGAUUUUCAGUAGGUCUCAUGAAUGUCUUUCGAGGCUUGUAUUCUCUGGAGAUGUCUCCAUGGCGGUAUUCUCCAUUGUAGCGGAACAACUCUCAUCAAUAUGUUCGCAUCUCUCCUCAAUCCGUGCAGUCAGCUUUUCUGCCAGCUUCUCUUCGUGUCUCCCAUAAAGUCGACUUCAACAGGACUGGGCAAGUCUGAAAGUACAUCGGAGCCUCACCAGUAAGCUGAUGACAGGCAGAUCUUCCACUGUCUGCCCUCUCAGGUUCUGGAAACUUACCCGUGAACUUAGGUCUUUGGGCAGCAGCAUUAUCUCGAACUUACACAGCGUCCUGAUCAAAAGACCUAAGCCAAUCUCCACAAAGGGCGGCAGCCCCUCCAUCACACUGAUCCACCCAUAGAAUUCUGCCCAGUUUCCUUGGAUCCACCAGCCACAACAUGCCUCGUGGUACACAUCAAGAUUCCAACUAGAAUCCAACCGGGUUUCUGGGGCCUCAGCCUGUCCUUGGAAGUAACAGA